GGGCCCAUAGCUCAGCUGGAAGAGCCACCGGCUCAUAACCGGUCUGUCCCUGGUUCGAGUCCAGGUGGGCCCA
rnacentral:tRNA from 1 species